AUUGAACGCUGGCGGCAGGCCUAACACAUGCAAGUCGAACGAGUGGCGGACGGGUGAGUAAUGUCUGGGAAACUGCCCGAUGGCGGGGGAUAACUACUGGAAACGGUAGCUAAUACCGCAUACCAUCGGAUGUGCCCAGAUGGGAUUAGCUAGUAGGUGGGGUAACGGCUCACCUAGGCGACGAUCCCUAGCUGGUCGGAGAGGAUGACCAGCCACACUGGAACUGAGACAAGGUCCAGAAGCCUACGGGAGGAAGCAGUGGGGAAGAUUGCACAAUGGGCGCAAGCCUGAUACAGCCAUGCCGCGUGUAUGAAGAAGGCCUUCGGGUUGUAAAGUACUUUCAGCGGGGAGGCGUUACUCGCAGAAGAAGCACCGGCUAACUCCGUGCCAGCAGCCGCGGUAAUUC
rnacentral:rRNA from 1 species